rnacentral:rRNA from 1 species
UACGAAGGGGGCAAGCGUUGUUCGGAAUUACUGGGCGUAAAGGGCGCGUAGGCGGCUUAACAAGUCACUUGUGAAAUCUCCGGGCUUAACUCGGAACGGCCAAGUGAAACUGUCAAGCUAGAGUGCAGAAGGGGCAAUCGGAAUUCUUGGUGUAGCGGUGAAAUGCGUAGAUAUCAAGAGGAACACCUGAGGUGAAGACGGGUUGCUGGGCUGACACUGACGCUGAGGCGCGAAAGCCAGGGGAGCAAACGGG